GGCGGCCGCCGUCCGCAGCGCCCAGUCGAGCCAAAGGCCCUCGGAGGAGAUCGGCUCUGGCUGCGCCGCGCUACCCUGACCUGGGCUCCCGGAGCAGUAGGCUGAGGGCCAUGUCAGUUUUCUGCCACACACAGGACCGGCCAUGAAGCUAAAGGAACUUGAACGGCCAGCUGUCCAAGCGUGGAGCCCAGCCAGCCAGUACCCUGUGUAUCUGGCCACAGGAACAUCUGCCCAGCAGCUAGAUGCCUCCUUUAGCACAAAUGGCACAUUGGAAAUCUUUGAGAUUGAUUUCAGGGACCCCUCUUUGGACUUGAAACACAAGGGAGUCCUUUCUGCCUCAAGCAGGUUUUACAAGCUGAUCUGGGGGAACAUUGGCGAUGGGCUUCUGGAAGGCUCCGGGGUCAUUGCAGGUGGCGGGGACAAUGGCAUGCUUACUCUAUACAAUGUGGCCCACAUCCUGUCUCCCGGGAAGGAGCCUGUGAUUGCCCAGAGACAGAAGCACACGGGGGCUGUCAGAGCCCUUGACUUUAAUCCUUUCCAGGGCAACCUCCUGGCCUCGGGAGCCAGUGAUUCUGAAAUCUUUAUUUGGGAUUUGAAUAACCUAAAUGUGCCAAGAACCCCAGGAUCUAAGUCACAGCAGCCUCCAGAAGACAUCAAGGCACUCGCUUGGAACCGGCAAGUUCAACACAUUCUGUCUUCUGCUCACCCCAGCGGCAAGGCAGUUGUGUGGGAUCUCAGGAAGAAUGAACCUAUCAUCAAAGUCAGCGAUCAUAGCAACAGGAUGCACAGCUCAGGCCUGGCCUGGCACCCAGACAUAGCCACCCAGUUGGUGCUGUGUUCAGAAGAUGAUCGUUUUCCAGUGAUUCAGCUGUGGGAUUUGCGCUUUGCCUCCUCGCCCCUGAAGGUGCUGGAGAGCCACAGUAGGGGGAUCUUGUCAGUGUCGUGGAGCCAGGCUGAUGCUGAGCUUCUGCUCAGUAGUGCCAAGGACAACCAGAUCUUGUGCUGGAACCUGGGGAGCAAUGAGGUAGUGUAUAAGCUGCCCACACAGAGCAGCUGGUGCUUUGAUGUGCAGUGGUGCCCUCGGGACCCUCCAGUGUUCUCUGCUGCCUCCUUUGACGGCUGGAUAAGAUUGUACUCCGUGAUGGGUAGGAGCUGGGAAGUCCAGCAGAUGAGACAGGCUGACAAGAUCUCUUCUUUCUUCAGCAAAGGCCAGCCUCUCCCACCACUGCAGGUACCAGAGCAAGGGGCCCAAGCAUCAUUGAUACCUCCUCUAAAAAAACCCCCCAAAUGGAUGAGAAGGCCAGCAGGUGUUUCAUUUGCUUUUGGAGGGAAGCUGGUUACCUUUGGCCUCCCCAGCACCCCUGCCCAUCAGAUGCCACAGCCUUGCCUCCGCCUAGUCUUCAUCAGUCAAGUCAUCACAGAAUCUGAAUUACUGAGGCGGUCAGCUGAGCUGCGGGAGGCCCUGGAAUCAGGAAAUCUUCUGAAUUAUUGUCAGAACAAGAUCGAACAAACAUCACUGCAAAGUGAAAAGAUGCUCUGGCAAUUCCUGAAGGUGACCUUAGAGGAAGACUCCAGAAUGAAAUUUCUAAAACUAUUAGGAUACAGUAAAGAUGAGUUCCAGAAGAAGGUGGCCGCGGGUUUGAAGAGUGACUUGGGGCUGGACGAGACCCCUCAAGGGAGGCCCAAGGGAGAUGAUCUCCACAGUAACAGACAGCAGGCUUUCUGCAGCCAGACCUCCGAACACAUCACAGAGGAAGCCUCUGCCUCCUCAUCCUUCUUUGAUGAGCUGGUCCCUCAGAAUAUGACUCCAUGGGAGAUCCCCAUCACAGAAGACACUGAUGGACUCCUGAGCCAGGCUCUCCUGCUUGGAGAACUACGCCCUGCUGUGGAGCUGUGUCUGAAAGAAGAGCGCUUUGCUGAUGCCAUCAUCCUGGCCCAGGCUGGGGGUGCAGAUCUGCUAAAGCAAACACAGGAGUGCUACUGGGCCAAGAAGAAAACCAGAAUCUCUUCGCUGCUAGCCUGUGUUGUACGGAAGAAUUGGGAGGAGAUGGUUUAUGCCUGUAGCCUGCAGAACUGGAAAGAGGCACUGGCCUUGCUCCUGACCUACUCUGGGCCAGAGAAGUUCCCUGAGCUCUGUGACAUGCUGGGUACUCGCAUGGAACAGGAGGGUGGCAGAGCACUAACCUCCGAAGCCAGACUCUGUUAUGUGUGCUCAGGGAGUGUGGAGCAGCUGGUGGAGUGUUGGGCAAGAUGCCACCAGGCUUCCUCCCCCCUGGCUCUACAGGACCUGAUGGAGAAGGUGAUGGUCCUUAAUAGGAGCUUGGAGCUACUGCGGGGUCCUGACGGGGUGAGCGCAGGCCCUGCCACAACCUGCAGGGUCACUCAGUAUGCCAAUCUCCUGGCAGCCCAGGGCAGCCUGGCCACUGCCAUGAGCUACCUACCCAGUGACUGUACUCAGCCACCAAUUCAGCAGCUGAGAGAUCGACUUUUUCAUGCCCAAGGUUCUGGUGUCUUGGGCCAACAGUGUCCUCCUUUCCCCUUCCCACGGGUUGUUGUGGGAGCUACCCCCCACUCUGAAGAAACAUCAUCUUACAGAUUGGGAUUCUGGCCUUCUCACCUGGUUCCAACUCCAUCUCCAAGGCCAAGGAUUUUCACACCUCAGUCAUCACUGCUGACACCCUUGAUACCUUCCCAUCCGGGCCCUUAUCAAAGCUUCCAAACACAGAAUAUAAAUGAUUACAGGGUACCUGAGCCCCAGGCAGCCCAGCCUUUGCCUUUGGCCCCUGGUGUAAGGCCUGCUUUAUUUGAGCCACUGUUGUUAAGAGGGCAAAAAGCCCAAGUUCCUAACCUCAUGGGGUUCCCUGGAACAUGGCCUCUUCCUGGUCCACCUCCACCCAUGGUACCCCCAGAUGUCAUACAGCCUGGCUCUACCUCCCUGGCCGAGACUGCUCGACUGUUCCCUCCACUUCCUGUGAGACUACCAGGGGUCAGCCCUACAAGCUUCCGGUCCCUAGCCCCUCCUGGCAGUUUCUCUGUGACGCACCCUCCAGGAGGGCCAGGUGCUGCAUGCUCUAGUGUCCUCCCGACCACUGGCCCCUCGACUGCUCACCCAGGACCUCAAGCUUCCUUGAAAAAUGCCCCAGUGCCCAGGGCAGACCUCCAAAGGAAAAAGUUGCCAGAGACAUUUAUGCCCCCGGUACCGAUUACUGCUCCAGUUAUGAGCCUCACCCCUGAGCCACGAGGGUUCCUUUCCUCACAGCCUUCUGUCCUUGGUGUGGACCAUGCUUCCCCAGGAGCUCCAGGAGAAUUCAGCCUGCAGCAACUUCAGCAGCGGCCCCCUCGGAAGGUGGAAAGGAAAGAGCUGCCUCCAGAGCAUCAGUCCCUGAAGACCAGCUUUGAGAAGCUUCUGCGACGCUGCUCCCUGUCUGCCACUGAUGUAAAGACAAAACGGAAGCUGGAGAAGGCAGCCCAACGUCUAGAAUGUCUAUAUGCUAAGCUCUGCCAGGGCACAGCACCCAUAUCUGCCAGGCCUGGCCUCUGCUUUAUCUGGGUAGCACCACAUCCCCUGGGCAUAUUUUGCGGAGGACUGUUGCUGCUUAGACUGGGUUCAAUGCAUAAAAAGACACUUGAAUUUGGACAGACAAGCAACCCAGCCACCUUUCAGUGUGGCUCUGUCAGUAUUGGAAUGAAAUGAACAUGACCCCCUCCAGCAGGGAAGGAACACACAGUAAAGCACUAUGACACAUUUAAAAUGGUUAGUCAUUGUUUCCUGUCCGUGCAUCCCAUUGGACCACGAGCUCUGUGAAAGCAGGAACUAUACCGUAUGAGCCGGGCACCCAGUGCCUGCCAUUGUAACAGGCAUUGCUGAGGUUCUCCUCCUCUAGAGGCAGGAAUGGCCUCAGGGUCCAUCUGCUUUUGGCAAGCACCCACACCUGCCAAGUCUUCAACACUUGGGUAACAGACUGUUACACUUUCACCUCACUGUGUUGCCUUCACCAUGGAUAAAAGACAGUUAGUCAGCAAUUUCAGGAAGCCACUUAAUUCCCAGGAGGGACCACAUUUCUUCACAUUUCUUUGGACGAAUGACCUGGACUGCCCAGCCUGGAUUGCAAGGUAAAGAUGUGCUUGCCCAGAGUGCCUCUCCUGCUGUUCUCUUCCUCUCUGAUUCUCUGUCUUGAGUCCACGUGACCAUGUGACACACCAGACACCUGGCAUUUCCCCAGGGCCAAAGCGCCAACUGGUGUAAAUGUGUUUGACUUCAUGGCAGCAGACUCCUGGUUUCCUGCUGCCAAGGCUGCGUUUAACCUAAAGUUACCCUUAGGCAGGGCAGGGCGGGUUACUGGGGUAUGAGUCAACCAGCUUGGCAUCUACUUCUUUUUUACUCUUAAAGGUACAGGAAUAGGACAUAGACAGUACGGUAGACCAUAGAGAUAAGUUCCAGGAAACUUUAAAUUGCAGCCAAAAAUCACCCAGACACAGUGCAGUCAGAUUCACUUCACUUUUAUUAUGAACAAACACAAUUUCAGAUCAGUACAACUAAGCUUCAGAGUUGAUAUUAAUAGAAAUUAUUCCAAAAUUAUUCUUAGGUCACAAAUAACUACUAUCCCACAUAAAAGGGGAAAAAAAAUCCCACCCAAUCAAGGAAAAGGUACCUGUGUAUUGUUUCCAUGGCAAUGAGUCUAUGUAUUCUCAAAUUUUAUCUGGCUAGUUAUCCACCACUUAGCCAAUGGAUUUAUUCAAUCUCUCAGAGAGUAUCAUAUCGAUUAAUCACAGCAUCCAGGACGCAUGGUUCAUGAUGGACACAAGUUCACGGUGGAUACUGCUACUUUUUAUAAAAAUACUCAGGACUUAAAAGAAUUCCUCUGCUGAAGGAUCCCAAAAUGCUUUAUAAAAAGCAUUAGUCACGCCUCAAAACUGCCCUGUGAGGUAGGUCAGUAUUAUUAUCCCAUUUUAACAGAAGGAAAACUGAGGCACAUUAUAGUUAAGUGACUUGCCCAGGGUCACAUAGCAAGUCAGUGGCACAGUGGUAGGAGAGGCCCUGGCCUUAACCACCCGCGUAACAUGGACAUCUUGUUUUCUUUAACCUUUCACGCUGACCCAUAUGAGCUAUACUUACAAAGAAUACACUCAGGAUACUAGCAAACCAAGGAGAAAAAGUUUCCAUUUUAAAUGCUACAACCAUCUUUUAAUCUAAAAAAUAUUAUAAAUCAAAUACAUUCAAAUUACUUCCACCCGCCGUCAAUGUGGGCACUUAAUAAAAACAGCCCUAAGAGAAGUUUCCAAAAUGAAGCCCUGAAGGGAAUCCUGCGAAUAGCUCUACUGAUAAUCCUCCAGCCAGACCCCCUUUUCUACCAGCCACUUCUGUAGGGUCUCAGGUGCAAAGGAACUCCACGGAGGGAGCGAGGAGGGAGUGAGAGCAGGCUCAUAUGCAACACCGAUUAGAAAAGAUGUAAGGCACCCAAAUAAGUUGUCAGCACACCCACAAAGCGAGGACUGUUAGAAAUUCAGACUUGAGUUUCUGGAUCAUUAAUGUGUCAACUGAACUCAGCUUUAGAAUCUUGAAGAAAGUGUUCUUUACUCGCAGACACCCCUCCACCUCCACAUUCUCCUAUACGGAGGGGCCCUCAGCCUGAGGACCCUGUCCAGCCUUGUGUAGGGUCAUGGUAUGGGUCAGAUCCCUGCGACAUGAUUAGAAUAGAAAGAUAAACUUGUUUUUGGUCCAAAAUUAUAAAGCAGGCAUCUGAUAACCUGUGGAAUUAAAACCACCCAACAGGCAUUUCCAAGGGAUAAGUCCACAAGUCAGCAGAUCUGAACUACAGUGAUCUUCCAUUAGUCUUUUCUACUGUGAGGAACAGCUGAAAAGAUGAGGAUGCCUUUAGUCCAGGGAACCCCUUUAGCCUCUGUCUAUUCAAUUAAUACAGGAAGAAAGGCCCUCUUCCCUUCCAGUAUUGGGGCUCAACAGCGCGCAGAACAUUUGGCCUUGUACAUUUCCAAUCUUUCAUAGAGUAAAGCCAGGCUUUUGCAUUGAUGACCGAGGUACAGGGACAGGGGCAGUCCAAGGUUCUCAAAACACUGACGCUUUCUUCAGACCUCUUCUACACUACCGUUUGCCCUAGGCUGUGUGGUGGGGAAUGCUGGUUAGUUUGCCAAGCAGAGAUGCUGUUCAGCAAAGUUCAUGGCAUCUCAGAUCCCAAGUCUGGGCUUUGCAAUACACCCUGGCUCCAGGGAACAGGGCCUCCUUUUGCGUGAGGCACUUUGGAACUUUCCUUUGCUUCUUGUGCUUCCCAGUGAAGACUAGGCUCCCUCCUGCUCCUGCAAGCAUUGCACUGUCCACUGGGAGCUCGGACUCGGGCUGGGCAGGCAUACCGAGCGAGCAGGGGGCAUCUAGCAUGCUCUCAUGUUCUGAUCCAGACAGAGGAGGCUAAAAACAAACCCUUUUUUUUGGCUCCGUGGCUGGCUCACUGGCACAACACGAGCCUUUGGCCUGGCUGUGCCUCAUGAGAGACAGUGCCCGAGCCAGGGACGUUUCUAGUAAGGUUUGCCAGCCUCCUCUUGAGUCAUCAGUGUGGAGGGGAGCACAGGGGUGUAGGUGGAGAGACUCUGGAGGCCAAGUGAAAGUGGCAGCCUACUGAGCUUUAUAAGGAGAAACAGUGGUUCAGUGACCCUGAGCAUUCUGUCUGCAGGAGAGGGAGCUGCUGGUGAGCCUUAACCAUCACUGCGUCUGAAUACAUACAAAGGAGGCUUCCUGUCCGGAGAAAGAGGAAAACAUCAGGGAGGAGAUAGAACCGGAAGGAGAAAAUGGACAGAUAAGGGUAGAGCCAGGAAUCAAAACCCACAGUAGUUAAGAGAUUCCUACCUCGCCCUCCAGGCAGUCCUAUACUUUAUGCUAAAAGUUAACUGAGAAGGAAUGGGAGAAAUGGCUCAACACUGCGGGGAGAAGCCUUCUGGUUUGUCCUCAUUCCAAGGAGAAACUGGAAUUCAUGAAUGAACCUAACAUUUAACUUGUUUGUAUAACCGGCUUCCAAAUCAGGACACCCAAAGACUUCCUCAGUAGUAACCUUCUGAAUCCCCUGGCAAUGUGUUCUCAGAGCCCUUCUUUUGUAAAGUUAUCUCUUAGGAACUGCCAACAGAUCUGGCCCUGAACCUCUCCAUCUCCUGUCCAGCAGUGAGAGGAAAGUAGCCAACCCACCUAAUUUCUCCUCUUCUUCAAGCAUCCCUUUUUCAGAGGGAAAUACCCUAAGUGAAUUACUUUAAUGUUCCAAGCAGACUGUGUAUGUAUAUAUAUUUUUAUGUUGGACCCAACUCCACCUCUUAAAAUCCUUCC